rnacentral:rRNA from 1 species
UACGUAGGGUGCGAGCGUUAAUCGGAAUUACUGGGCGUAAAGCGUGCGCAGGCGGUUUUGUAAGUCUGACGUGAAAUCCCCGGGCUUAACCUGGGAAUUGCGUUGGAGACUGCAAGGCUGGAGUCUGGCAGAGGGGGGUAGAAUUCCACGUGUAGCAGUGAAAUGCGUAGAGAUGUGGAGGAACACCGAUGGCGAAGGCAGCCCCCUGGGUCAAGACUGACGCUGAAGCACGAAAGCGUGGGGAGCAAACAGG